CCUACGGGAGGCAGCAGUAGGGAAUCUUCCGCAAUAGACGAAAGUCUGACGGAGCAAUACCGCGUGAGUGAUGAAGGUCUUCGGAUCGUAAAACUCUGUUGUUAGGGAAGAACAAGCAUUAAUUUAAUACAUUAGUGCCCUGACGGUACCUAACCAGAAAGCCCCGGCUAACUACGUGCCAGCAGCCGCGGUAAU
rnacentral:rRNA from 1 species